AUGUCUUCUAAUGAGCUCGAGGCCCGCUUGGCUGGAGAGGGAAUCUAUGCAAAUUAGAUGCACGAGCCAAACAUUGAGCGGUGGGGAGGCGCACUCCCGCUGCCUGCUUUUCACCCGCCCGACGCGCGUUCCCGACGCUCGGCCCCGACACACAACCGAGGGCCCCUCGUGCUGCUCUCCUCUCCUUAAAGAGCGUGAACACCCGAGCCGACCGGACCAGACCAUACCAGAUCAGACCGGACUAGACCAGACCAGACCAGAACAGACCGGACCAGACCAGACCAGACCAGACCGGACCAGACCGGACCAGACCGGACCAGACCAGACCAGAACAGACCGGAGUAGACCAGACCGGACCAGACCAGACCAGACCGGACUGGCCGGACCAGACCGGACCAGACCAGACCGGACCAGACCGGACCAGAACAGACCGGACCAGACCAUACCAGACCAGACCGGACCAGACCGGACCGGACCGGACCAGACCAGAC
ensembl:lncRNA